AAUCCCUACGGGAGGCAGCAGUGAGGAAUAUUGGUCAAUGGGCGAGAGCCUGAACCAGCCAAGUCGCGUGAAGGAUGACGGCCCUACGGGUUGUAAACUUCUUUUGUCAGGGAGCAAUUGAGUCCACGUGUGGGCUUAGCGAGAGUACCUGAAGAAAAAGCAUCGGCUAACUCCGUGCCAGCAGCCGCGGUAAUACGUAGGUGGCGAGCGUUAUCCGGAAUGAUUGGGCGUAAAGGGUGCGCAGGCGGUCCUGCAAGUCUGGAGUGAAACGCAUGAGCUCAACUCAUGCAUGGCUUUGGAAACUG
rnacentral:rRNA from 1 species